UACGUAGGGGGCGAGCGUUGUCCGGAUUUAUUGGGCGUAAAGGGCGCGUAGACGGGCGACCGCGUCGAGUGCUGAAAUCCCCCGGCUCAACCGGGGAACGGGCCUCGAAACGGGUCGCCUCGAGUGGAGGAGGGGGACCUGGAACGUCCGGUGGAGCGGUGAAAUGCGUUGAGAUCGGACGGAACGCCGACGGCGAAAGCAAGGUCCUGGACUCCGACUGACGUUGAGGCGCGAAAGCCAGGGGAGCGAACGGG
rnacentral:rRNA from 1 species